rnacentral:rRNA from 1 species
GACCUUGAAAUACCACCCUUUAAUGUUUGAUGUUCUAACGUGGACCCGUGAUCCGGGUUGCGGACAGUGUCUGGUGGGUAGUUUGACUGGGGCGGUCUCCUCCUAAAGAGUAACGGAGGAGCACGAAGGUUGGCUAAUCCUGGUCGGACAUCAGGAGGUUAGUGCAAUGGCAUAAGCCAGCUUGACUGCGAGCGUGACGGCGCGAGCAGGUGCGAAAGCAGGUCAUAGUGAUCCGGUGGUUCUGAAUGGAAGGGCCAUCGCUCAACGGAUAAAAGGUACUCCGGGGAUAACAGGCUGAUACCGCCCAAGAGUUCAUAUCGACGGCGGUGUUUGGCACCUCGAUGUCGGCUCAUCACAUCCUGGGGCUGAAGUAGGUCCCAAGGGUAUGGCUGUUCGCCAUUUAAAGUGGUACGCGAGCUGGGUUUAGAACGUCGUGAGACAGUUCGGUCCCUAUCUGCCGUGGGCGCUGGAGAACUGAGGGGGGCUGCUCCUAGUACGAGAGGACCGGAGUGGACGCAUCACUGGUGUUCGGGUUGUCAUGCCAAUGGCACUGCCCGGUAGCUAAAUGCGGAAGAGAUAAGUGCUGAAAGCAUCUAAGCACGAAACUUGCCCCGAGAUGAGUUCUCCCUGACCCUUUAAGGGUCCUGAAGGAACGUUGAAGACGACGACGUUGAUAGGCCGGGUGUGUAAGCGCAGCGAUGCGUUGAGCUAACCGGUACUAAUGAACCGUGAGGCUUAACCUUACAACGCCGAAGGUGUUU